UAAAUCCUUUGGAAUAGGGUAUCAUAGAGGGUGAGAAUCCCGUCUUUGACUGAGAAUUUGCUACUAUGUGAUACGUUUUCAAAGAGUCGAGUUGUUUGGGAAUGCAGCUCAAAAUGGGUGGUAAAUUUCAUCUAAAGCUAAAUAUUGGCGAGAGACCGAUAGCGAACAAGUACCGUGAGGGAAAGAUGAAAAGAACUUUGAAAAGAGAGUUAAACAGUGCGUGAAAUUGUUGAAAGGGAAACGCUUGAAACCAGUCAUGUGGUUGGAAAAUCAGUGUUCAACUGGGGGGAAUGGGGGAGGUGUGGACCGCAAGGCUGCUCUUUUCUAUAUCUCUUUUGUUGGGCAUGCACUUUUUCUUCUGCAGGUCAACAUCAGUUUCUUUUGCUGGACAAAACUCUUGAGAAGGUAGCAGCUUAGGCUGUGUUAUAGCUCUGGAGCGAUACAGUGGAGGAGACUGAGGUUUUCGCAGCANGUGCUCUCGGGCAAGGCCAAUUGGGUGCUAUGGG
rnacentral:rRNA from 1 species